rnacentral:rRNA from 1 species
AAAUUGAAGAGUUUGAUCAUGGCUCAGAUUGAACGCUGGCGGCAGGCCUAACACAUGCAAGUCGAGCGGUAGCACAGAGAGCUUGCUCUCGGGUGACGAGCGGCGGACGGGUGAGUAAUGUCUGGGAAACUGCCUGAUGGAGGGGGAUAACUACUGGAAACGGUAGCUAAUACCGCAUAAUGUCGCAAGACCAAAGUGGGGGACCUUCGGGCCUCAUGCCAUCAGAUGUGCCCAGAUGGGAUUAGCUAGUAGGUGGGGUAACGGCUCACCUAGGCGACGAUCCCUAGCUGGUCUGAGAGGAUGACCAGCCACACUGGAACUGAGACACGGUCCAGACUCCUACGGGAGGCAGCAGUGGGGAAUAUUGCACAAUGGGCGCAAGCCUGAUGCAGCCAUGCCGCGUGUGUGAAGAAGGCCUUCGGGUUGUAAAGCACUUUCAGCGGGGAGGAAGGCGAUAAGGUUAAUAACCUUGUUGAUUGACGUUACCCGCAGAAGAAGCACCGGCUAACUCCGUGCCAGCAGCCGCGGUAAUACGGAGGGUGCAAGCGUUAAUCGGAAUUACUGGGCGUAAAGCGCACGCAGGCGGUCUGUCAAGUCGGAUGUGAAAUCCCCGGGCUCAACCUGGGAACUGCAUUCGAAACUGGCAGGCUAGAGUCUUGUAGAGGGGGGUAGAAUUCCAGGUGUAGCGGUGAAAUGCGUAGAGAUCUGGAGGAAUACCGGUGGCGAAGGCGGCCCCCUGGACAAAGACUGACGCUCAGGUGCGAAAGCGUGGGGAGCAAACAGGAUUAGAUACCCUGGUAGUCCACGCCGUAAACGAUGUCGAUUUGGAGGUUGUGCCCUUGAGGCGUGGCUUCCGGAGCUAACGCGUUAAAUCGACCGCCUGGGGAGUACGGCCGCAAGGUUAAAACUCAAAUGAAUUGACGGGGGCCCGCACAAGCGGUGGAGCAUGUGGUUUAAUUCGAUGCAACGCGAAGAACCUUACCUGGUCUUGACAUCCACAGAACUUAGCAGAGAUGCUUUGGUGCCUUCGGGAACUGUGAGACAGGUGCUGCAUGGCUGUCGUCAGCUCGUGUUGUGAAAUGUUGGGUUAAGUCCCGCAACGAGCGCAACCCUUAUCCUUUGUUGCCAGCGGUUAGGCCGGGAACUCAAAGGAGACUGCCAGUGAUAAACUGGAGGAAGGUGGGGAUGACGUCAAGUCAUCAUGGCCCUUACGACCAGGGCUACACACGUGCUACAAUGGCAUAUACAAAGAGAAGCGACCUCGCGAGAGCAAGCGGACCUCAUAAAGUAUGUCGUAGUCCGGAUUGGAGUCUGCAACUCGACUCCAUGAAGUCGGAAUCGCUAGUAAUCGUAGAUCAGAAUGCUACGGUGAAUACGUUCCCGGGCCUUGUACACACCGCCCGUCACACCAUGGGAGUGGGUUGCAAAAGAAGUAGGUAGCUUAACCUUCGGGAGGGCGCUUACCACUUUGUGAUUCAUGACUGGGGUGAAGUCGUAACAAGGUAACCGUAGGGGAACCUGCGGUUGGAUCACCUCCUUACCUUAAAGAA